GGUCAGUGAUGUGUUGGCAUGUAUUAUCUGAAUCUAAAGUUGAUGCUUACCAUUCCUAUAGCUCUAGGAUUACUGAGACCUU